CCUGGCUCAGGAUGAACGCUAGCUACAGGCUUAACACAUGCAAGUCGAGGGGCAGCAUGGUCUUAGCUUGCUAAGGCCGAUGGCGACCGGCGCACGGGUGAGUAACACGUAUCCAACCUGCCGUCUACUCUUGGACAGCCUUCUGAAAGGAAGAUUAAUACAAGAUGGCAUCAUGAGUCCGCAUGUUCACAUGAUUAAAGGUAUUCCGGUAGGCGAUGGGGAUGCGUUCCAUUAGAUAGUAGGCGGGGUAACGGCCCACCUAGUCUUCGAUGGAUAGGGGUUCUGAGAGGAAGGUCCCCCACAUUGGAACUGAGACACGGUCCAAACUCCUACGGGAGGCAGCAGUGAGGAAUAUUGGUCAAUGGGCGAGAGCCUGAACCAGCCAAGUAGCGUGAAGGAUGACUGCCCUAUGGGUUGUAAACUUCUUUUAUAAAGGAAUAAAGUCGGGUAUGGAUACCCGUUUGCAUGUACUUUAUGAAUAAGGAUCGGCUAACUCCGUGCCAGCAGCCGCGGUAAUACGGAGGAUCCGAGCGUUAUCCGGAUUUAUUGGGUUUAAAGGGAGCGUAGAUGGAUGUUUAAGUCAGUUGUGAAAGUUUGCGGCUCCACCGUAAAAUUGCAGUUGAUACUGGAUAUCUUGAGUGCAGUUGAGGCAGGCGGAAUUCGUGGUGUAGCGGUGAAAUGCUUAGAUAUCACGAAGAACUCCGAUUGCGAAGGCAGCCUGCUAAGCUGCAACUGACAUUGAGGCUCGAAAGUGUGGGUAUCAAACAGGAUUAGAUACCCUGGUAGUCCACACGGUAAACGAUGAAUACUCGCUGUUUGCGAUAUACUGCAAGCGGCCAAGCGAAAGCGUUAAGUAUUCCACCUGGGGAGUACGCCGGCAACGGUGAAACUCAAAGGAAUUGACGGGGGCCCGCACAAGCGGAGGAACAUGUGGUUUAAUUCGAUGAUACGCGAGGAACCUUACCCGGGCUUAAAUUGCAGAUGAAUUACGGUGAAAGCCGUAAGCCGCAAGGCAUCUGUGAAGGUGCUGCAUGGUUGUCGUCAGCUCGUGCCGUGAGGUGUCGGCUUAAGUGCCAUAACGAGCGCAACCCUUGUUGUCAGUUACUAACAGGUUCCGCUGAGGACUCUGACAAGACUGCCAUCGUAAGAUGUGAGGAAGGUGGGGAUGACGUCAAAUCAGCACGGCCCUUACGUCCGGGGCUACACACGUGUUACAAUGGGGGGUACAGAGGGCCGCUACCACGCGAGUGGAUGCCAAUCCCCAAAACCUCUCUCAGUUCGGACUGGAGUCUGCAACCCGACUCCACGAAGCUGGAUUCGCUAGUAAUCGCGCAUCAGCCACGGCGCGGUGAAUACGUUCCCGGGCCUUGUACACACCGCC
rnacentral:rRNA from 1 species